rnacentral:lncRNA from 10 species
GAAAAACUGAAUGGAUAAAUGAUGCAGGACGGGUGCGGUGGCUCAUGCCUGUAAUCCCAGCACUUUUGGAGCCAAGGCAGGCAGAUCACAAGUGUGAAGUCCUUUGUGAAUGAGCCACAUUUUUUACUCAUUCAAGUCCCUACAGCAUAAUCACAUAGAUUAACUCACUUGGAUCGUUAAUUGUUACACUGUAAGAACUCCACAAACUUGAUCAGAGAGGUCUGCAGCUCAGUACACUACUGCAGAUGCAUGUGGACCAAAGAAAGAAGGUCAAGGGAUCCAAUUAUGUUUGCAAUGAUCAAUUUCCCUAUUAAGAUUUUAAAUAUAUUUAUCCUUUUUUCAAAGCAUGUAAGAAAGUAUUUAUCAGUGAAAUGAAAAUAAAAAUGCUGAUCAGUAGUGAAGCAAAUUCACCUGG